rnacentral:rRNA from 1 species
AUUGAACGCUGGCGGCAUGCCUAACACAUGCAAGUCGAACGAGUGGCGGAGGGGUGAGCAAUGUCUUGGAAACUGCCUGAUGGAGGGGGAUAACUACUGGAAACGGUAGAUAAUACCGCAUACCAUCAGAUGUGCCCAUAUGGGAUUAGAUUGUUGGUGGGGUAACGGCUCACCAAGGCGACGAUCCAUAGCUGGCCAGAGAGGAUGACCGGCCACACUGGAACGGAGCCACGGUCCAGACGCCUACGGGAGGCAGCAGUAGGGAAUAGUGCACAAUGGGCGCAAGCCUGAUGCAGCCAUGCCGCGUGUAUGAAGAAGGCAUUCGGGUUGUAAAGUACUUUCAGCGGGGAGGCGUUACCCGCAGAAGAAGCAACGGCUAACUCCGUGCCAGCAGCCGCGGUAAUUC